GCUUCUGGUUAUUUUAUUUGUCUCGCGUUUUUAUCAUCUCUCCGUGGUUUUGGCCUCGAGCUGUCUGCAGACUUAAUCUGAUUUUAUGGGCAGAGAGCUCAACUUUUUUUCCCAUGUUUCGCAAUUUUUCCCUUAUGAUUUCUAGAGUGAGAAAGAGAUAAAUUGUAACACUCCGGAAUAUAAAAAAGAAAAUUCAAAAAUGAAAAGUUUCUGGUUUUUCCCUGCUUCGUAUGCGUAUCAUUGUAUUUUGAUCUCUGUUUUUAUCACAGUCCAAUCGACUUUUAUUUUUUGGUGAAUAUGAGAGCUUUACAUCAGUGGUCAAUUACUCAAAUUCAUGGUGGAAAGAACUCAUGUGAUAUUGUCUUUGCCUAUAAUCAUGAACGGAUCCUAGGAGAGCAGGGAGGAAAGGGAGAAGUAAGAAAUGGGCGAGCCCAUUUUGGGUAUCAACGCGGUUUUUAAUGGAAAAACAAAUUAAAAGUGUGUUUAGAUUUUAAUAGGAUAUAAAAAAUUAAUUAAUAUAAUAGAUUUUAAUUAAAAGUGAUUAUAUUAUGAUGUGAAGGUGUUUGAAUGAUAGUUUUUAAAAUUAAUUUUGAUAAAAUUAAAGAAAUUUUAAUGAUUUUAAUUUAAAUUAACUUUAGAUGUGUAAAUGACAAUAAAAGACAUGAGUUUUAGGGGAAAUAAAAUUGCGUAUGAUAUUAUUAAAUUUAUUUUGAUUUAUUUAAUAAAAAUAUAAUAAUGAUACAUUUACUGUUUUAAAAAUUGUUCAGCACACAUAUAUUGAUAAGUAAUAUAAAUUUAAAUUAAAUUUUAUUAUAAAUUUAUAAAUGUUAAUAUUUAACAAUAUUUUUUUAUCAAUGUUACAGUUUUUUUUUAAUUUUUCUCACGUUUAAUGUUUUGUUCUCUUUAAUAAUAAAUAAUAAAUAUUUUUAUUUCUUUUUUUUGUUUUUGUAGAAACUUUCCUUUUUGUCUCGAGCUGAGGCAGUCACUUUGUUGAUUUGUCACAGUUCACACUCUUUGAACAUUAACGUCCAGACGAAGCCAGGGACACACUUCGUAGGUUAAAAAUUCUGACAAGCAAUAAAUGCUCAAAGGGGUAUAACUGAAAUUGACAAGCCGGUGAGAAUAACUUAAGCAAAAAUGUGAUUUGGGUUUGGGGUAAUAUAAUCAAUUAUGCACAAAUGGAGGUGCUUGAAUAUUUUUCACCAAAACUUUAUUUCUGGAUAGAUAAUUGAUUCUCAUGGCCAAUCCACAGAAAAACGAAUCAUAGAAAGUACAGUGGGAUAGGAUAGCUUUUUGAAAUUCACGAACUUAUGACUAUUAAUUAAUUUUAUCAUAUGAAGAAAAAUAAUGUUUAGCUUUGAUGAAUCGUAAAAUAAAAAAACUAUGCUAAGCACAGAUUUUUUUUUAAAAAAGAAAUAGGUUGAUUGUUGGUUGACCCAGGUUUGAUGAAUCGUCCCACUAACCUGACUCAGGUUCUUUGCUGCCUACAAUGAAAGCUACUGAGUAUUGAUUAUGCAAAUAGUGCAUAAAGUAUCGCUUGGGAUGGAUGCUACAGUAUAUUCUUUGUAGGGAUAUGGAAUCAUGAGUCAUGGGAGGGAAGUCCUUCAGGGGGAAGAUAAACAUGCAAAGACCUCCUUUAUCAGCUGAUCACUUUUGGCCAGGAAAGCAACAGCGCAUCAGAAUUUGAAAGAACCCAACCAAGCCACUCUGCCCUCUCGGCCAAGCAAAAAAGCCUGUCCUUAUCCCGUAAACUAUAUGCAAUUUCCUUGUCAUCCACUUUCUAUCCCAAUUUAAUGCCUGUCUUUGACUUCUCCCUCUCAGCAAUCUCCACGUGCCCUGCCCGGUGAAUUGGGAUUUUUGCUCGACAAGCUUGUCAUAUCUCGUGCAGGAGAUUGUCAAAUAAUAAUAGAAACGGUGGAAAGACUUCAACUUGACGUGAGGGCGUUGGAUUAUAUGGGGUUGGGCAUGAAAUAUGAAGAAGCAAGGUGUUAACUCAGUUUUGGGUUUCUCAAUGUGGGCUGUGUAUUCCACGGAGUGAUUUCUCCGCAACGUAAAAUGAAAAUUUCCGACAACCAGCGCAAGACAAAUAUUUUCGCAAGUAAAGCCACACUGUUCACGAUCAAAGGUAACCUUCUAGAUUUGCAAAACAUAUCCACAUGCACCCAGCCGCUAGCAGUCCGGUGACUCUUCUCGGAGCGUUUAAUCAUCCAUGGCCGCCGGGAAGUCAGCGUCAACUUUUUCCCAAUACUUAUCUUAAUGAUGAAGACAGAAUGAAGAAAAUGAAGAAUAAAGAAAAAGGAGAAGCCCCUCUCCGUUGAUGGUGGGCUCAUUAUUCCUGGUGACUAAUUAAUGGCCGGCUAACCAUCCAACGGUCCACAUUUCAGGUUCACUGCUCAGAAGAUCCGCAUUCACCCAAUAUAAAUAUCAAUUAUAUAAUGAUCUUAAAUUAGGACACGUGGAUUUCGUUCUGCCUAUUCCAAAGGAUUCACGGAUGUUAAUUUAAUUUAAUUUAAUUUAAUUAUUAUUAAUGAUUAUGUUUUGUUAUAUGGUUUGUGAUACUUGUU